rnacentral:tRNA from 1 species
UAGGCACGUAGCUCAGCUGGCUAGAGCACUACCUCGACACGGUAGGGGUCAGCGGUUCAAAUCCGCUCGUGCCUAU